GGGAAACCCGUCCCGUCGCCCGCGAAGUAUCCUAUACUGCAGUCGUAGCGAUUGACGAGUACGCUUGCUUCUUCUGAUGUUAGCGGCGCGCCGGGUGAGUAACACGUGUUCAACCUACCUUAUAGUUUGUUAUAUCUCCGGAAAACCGGUGCUAACACAGAAUAAUCUAUUUCCUCUCAUGAGGAAAUACUGAAAGACGGUUUGCGGCUGUCACUAUAAGAUGGGCCCGCGGCGCAUUAUCUAUUUGGUGAGGUAGCGUCUCACCAACGCGACGAUGCGUAGCCGACCUGAGCGGGAUCCAACCAAAACUGGCACUGACACACGCCCCACACUCAUACGGGAGGCAGCAGUAGGGAAUCUUCCACAAUGGGCGAAAGCCUGAUGGAGCAGCGCCGCGUGAGUGAAGAAGUAUUUCGGCUCAUAACACUCUGUUGUGAGGAAAGAACAAGUACAGUAGUCACUGGGUGUACCUUGACGGUACCUUAUUAGAAAGCCACGGCUAACUACGUGCCAGCACCCGCGAUAAUACGUAGGUGGCAAGCGUUGUCCGGAAUUAUUGGGGCGUAAAGCGCGCGCAGGUGGUUUCUUAAGUGAGAUGUGAAAGCCCACGGCUCAACCGUGGAGGGUCAUUGGAAACUGGGAGACUUGAGUGCAGAAGAGGAUAGUGGAAUUCCAAGUGUAGCGGUGAAAUGCGUAGAGAUUUGGAGGAACACCAGUGGCGAAGGCGACUAUCUGGUCUGUAACUGACACUGAGGCGCGAAAGCGUGGGGAGCAAACAGGAUUAGAUACCCUGGUAGUCCACGCCGUAAACGAUGAGUGCUAAGUGUUAGGGGGUUUCCGCCCCUUAGUGCUGCAGCUAACGCAUUAAGCACUCCGCCUGGGGAGUACGGUCGCAAGACUGAAACUCAAAGGAAUUGACGGGGGCCCGCACAAGCGGUGGAGCAUGUGGUUUAAUUCGAAGCAACGCGAAGAACCUUACCAGGUCUUGACAUCCCGUUGACCACUGUAGAGAUAUGGUUUUCCCUUCGGGGACAACGGUGACAGGUGGUGCAUGGUUGUCGUCAGCUCGUGUCGUGAGAUGUUGGGUUAAGUCCCGCAACGAGCGCAACCCUUGAUCUUAGUUGCCAUCAUUUAGUUGGGCACUCUAAGGUGACUGCCGGUGACAAACCGGAGGAAGGUGGGGAUGACGUCAAAUCAUCAUGCCCCUUAUGACCUGGGCUACACACGUGCUACAAUGGACGAUACAAACGGUUGCCAACUCGCGAGAGGGAGCUAAUCCGAUAAAGUCGUUCUCAGUUCGGAUUGUAGGCUGCAACUCGCCUACAUGAAGCCGGAAUCGCUAGUAAUCGCGGAUCAGCAUGCGGCGGUGAAUACGUUCCCGGGCCUUGUACACACCGCCCGUCAGACCACGAGAGUUUGUAACACCCGAAGUCGUAGGGGUAACCUUUGGAGCCAGCCG
rnacentral:rRNA from 1 species